GGCCGCGGGAUUGUGCCAGCAGCCGCGGUAAUACGUAGGGUGCAAGCGUUAAUCGGAAUUACUGGGCGUAAAGCGAGCGCAGGCGGUUAUUUAAGUCAGAUGUGAAAUCCCCGAGCUCAACUUGGGACGUGCAUUUGAAACUGGGUAACUAGAGUGUGUCAGAGGGGGGUAGAAUUCCACGUGUAGCAGUGAAAUGCGUAGAGAUGUGGAAGGAAUACCGAUGGCGAACGCCAGCCCCCUGGGAUAACACUGACGCUCAUGCUCGAAAGCGUGGGUAGCAAACAGGAUUAGAUACCCUUGGUAGUCCACGCCCUAAACGAUGUCAAUUAGCUGUUGGGGGAUUAAAGGCCCUUGGUAGCGUAGCUAACGCGUGAAAUUGACCGCCUGGGGAGUACGGUCGCAAGAUUAAAACUCAAAGGAAUUGACGGGGACCCGCACAAGCGGUGGAUGAUGUGGAUUAAUUCGAUGCAACGCGAAAAACCUUACCUAGCCUUGACAUGUACGGAAUUCCGAUGAAAGUUGGAAGUGCCUUCGGGAGCCGUAACACAGGUGCUGCAUGGCUGUCGUCAGCUCGUGUCGUGAGAUGUUGGGUUAAGUCCCGCAACGAGCGCAACCCCUUGUCAUUAGUUGCCAGCAUUCAGUUGGGCACUCUAAUGAGACUGCCGGUGACAAACCGGAGGAAGGUGGGGAUGAUGUCAAGUCCUCAUGGCCCUUAUGGCUAGGGCUUCACACGUCAUACAAUGGUUCGGUACAGAGGGUAGCGAAGCCGCGAGGUGGAGCCAAUCUCAUAAAGCCGAUCGUAGUCCGGAUUGCACUCUGCAACUCGAGUGCAUGAAGUCGGAAUCGCUAGUAAUCGCGGAUCAGAAUGUCGCGGUGAAUACGUUCCCGGGUCUUGUACACACCGCCCGUCACACCAUGGGAGUGGGGGAUACCAGAAGUGGGUAGGAUAACCGUAAGGGGUCCGCUCACCACGGUAUGCCUCAUGACUGGGGUGAAGUCGUAACAAGGUAACCG
rnacentral:rRNA from 1 species